UCCGACCUCAGAUCGGACGAGAUUACCCGCUGAAUUUAAGCAUAUAAAUAAGCGGAGGAAAAGAAACUAACAAGGAUUCCCU
rnacentral:rRNA from 2 species